rnacentral:rRNA from 1 species
AAUUCCCCACAUCUAAUAAUCAUCGUUUAUGGUAUGGACUACGAUGGGUAUCUAUUCCUCUUCGCUACCCAUACUUUCGUAUGUCAGCGUAAGUAAUGAUCCAGANAGCCGCCUUCGCAACUGGUGGUCUACAUAAUAUCUANGAAUUUCACCUCUACACUAUGUAUUCCGCUUUCCUCUAUCAUACUCCAGCUAAAUAGAUUUAAUUGCAAUUCCAAAGGUAAGCUUUGGGCUUUCACAAUUAACUUAUCUAGCCGCCUACAUACUCUUUAUGCCCAGUAAUUCCGAACUACGCUAGGUCCCUUCGUAUUACCGCGGGUGCUGGCACGAAGUUAGACGGACCUUAUUCUUCGGGUACAGUCAUUAUCUUUCCCGACAAAAGAGCUUUACAACCCAAAGGCCUUCUUCACUCACGCGGCAUCGAUGCAUCAGGCUUUCGCCCAUUGGGCAAGAUUCCCAANGNNUNGCCCC